GUCUGGCACCUCAAGCUCAAGUUUUUCUUUCUGUUAUCGGCCCUCUGCGUGGCAAUGGUCGGAUUUAAAUUUCUGUUCUGUGAGUUUGGCCCUCUGCGAGGCAAUGGUCAAAUCCAGGUUUUAUUUUUCUGUUAUCGGCCUUCUGCGUGGCAAUGGUCGGAUUUAAAUUUUUGUUCUGUGAGUUUGGCCCUCUGCGAGGCAAUGGUCAAAUCCAGGUUUUAUUUUUCUGUUAUCGGCCCUCUGCGUUCUGCGAGUUUGGCCCUCUGCGAGGCAAUGGUCAAAUCCAGGUUUUAUUUUUCUGUUAUCGGCCCUCUGCGUGGCAAUGGUCGGAUUUAAAUUUCUGUUCUGCGAGUUUGGCCCUCUACGAGGCAAUGGUCGGAUUUAAAUUUCUGUUCUGUGAGUUUGGCCCUCUGCGAGGCAAUGGUCAAAUCCAGGUUUUAGUUUUCUGUUAUUGGCCCUCUGCUUGACAUUGGUCUUUUGGCAUCGCGACUUAAAUCAUUUUUUCGUUCGCUUUCUUUCGUAUUUGAAACCCAGACGAAAUUAGUGUUUCUAUCUUUACUUAACUUUUACUCAGAUAAUACGAAAAUAUCACAUUUUCCUAUUAUCCAGUAAAAUCUAAGUAAAGAGGGGCAGCUGUCAACACCCAAUUUCGUUCGGGUGACUAA
rnacentral:lncRNA from 1 species